UCAGGACAACUUUCCCAGCCUCGCUGAAGAAGAGGAGGGAGGUCGCGGCGGCAGGAAGGGACGGCCGGCGCUCCUUUUUCUCCCUGGCCCUAUAAAGCCAUGACCGGCCUAGAAGAAGAUCCCGAGUUUGACUUCGAUUUCCUCUUCGAGUUUAAUCAGAGCGACGAAGGGGCCAGCGGCAAAGAACAUUAUAACUACCCAUCUUCAAAUAUAAAUUCAAGUUUGCCUCUAAAUGUGGCACAUUCUUCAUUAUCAACUCCAUGCCACGGCCUUCAGACAUCUAAUCCCAUCAUUUCAAUUGUCCCAUCAACUAAUCAUCCUUCAGGAUACGGCGGGCAUACUGACAGUAGCACUGCCGGAUAUUAUCUGCCUCCGAAUGUUAGGCCAAAUGGAGUGCCGGCAUUAGAAAGCCCUAGAAUUGAAAUAACCUCAUACUUGGGACUGCAUCAUAACAACAACCAGUUCUUCCAUGAUGGCGAGGUUGAGGAACCCAUCGCAAACGCAAAGAGAUCACCUUCCACUGCCACUUUGAACUUACCAAACAUUGAGGCCUAUAGAGACCCAUCCUGCCUAAGUCCAGCAAGUAGCUUGUCUUCCAGAAGCUGUAAUUCUGAAGCCUCUUCCUAUGAGUCCAAUUACUCUUAUCCUUAUGCUUCACCUCAGACAUCUCCUUGGCAAUCACCAUGUGUAUCGCCUAAGACCACUGAGACUGAAGAGAGGUACCAGCGAAACUUGGUGGCCUGCACGCUACUCGGUUCUCCCCGACAUUCUCCUUCAGCCUCUCCCAGAACAAGCAUUACUGAAGAGAACUGGCUGGGUCCUCGUGGCUCCAGGCCAUCUUCUCCCUGCAACAAGAGAAAAUACAGUUUGAAUGGCAGGCAGACAUCCUAUUCACCACACCAUUCUCCAACGCCUUCUCCGCAGAAUUCACCAAGGGUUAGUGUGACGGAUGAAACGUGGCUGGGAAAUACGAACCAGUACACCAGUUCAGCCAUUGUGGCAGCUAUCAAUGCCCUCACCACGGACAGCACAAUAGACAUGAAUGAUGGGAUUCCUAUGAAGUCCAGGAAAACAGCGAUAGAUCAUACUCCAUCCAUGGCGCUGAAGACUGAACCAAGUGGUGAUGAUCAGGGGACUGUAUCUCCAACAGCUGACCUGUCACCAGAAGAAUUUCCUGGAUUUCAACACAUCAGAAAGGGAAACUUCUGUGAUCAGUAUCUCUCUGUGCCACAGCACCCUUAUCAGUGGGCCAAAUCAAAGCCGCUGUCCCCGUCGUACAUGAGCCCAUCACUGCCUGCUCUGGAUUGGCAGUUACCAUCUCACUCAGGACCUUAUGAACUUCGGAUUGAAGUGCAGCCCAAGUCCCAUCACAGAGCCCAUUAUGAGACAGAAGGGAGCCGAGGGGCUGUCAAAGCAUCUGCUGGGGGACAUCCAGUGGUACAGCUACACGGUUACUUAGAAAGUGAACCACUCACACUACAGCUGUUCAUCGGGACUGCAGACGACCGCCUGCUGCGGCCCCAUGCCUUCUACCAGGUUCACCGGAUCACUGGGAAAACCGUUUCCACAACUAGCCAUGAAACAAUCCUUUCCAACACCAAAGUGUUGGAAAUUCCACUUCUACCUGAAAACAACAUGAGAGCAAUCAUUGACUGUGCUGGAAUACUGAAACUCAGAAAUUCAGACAUUGAGCUGAGGAAAGGAGAAACUGACAUUGGGAGAAAGAAUACACGUGUUCGGUUGGUCUUCCGUGUUCAUAUCCCUCAACCUAAUGGGAGAACCCUUUCUCUGCAAGUAGCAUCCAACCCCAUUGAGUGCUCUCAAAGAUCUGCUCAGGAAUUGCCUUUGGUAGAGAAGCAAAGCGUUGAUAGCUACCAUGUGAUGGGCGGAAAGAAAAUGAUACUGAGUGGACACAACUUUCUUCAGGACUCCAAAGUUGUAUUUGUGGAGAAAGCUCCAGAUGGUCAUCACGUGUGGGAAAUGGAAGCCAAGACUGACAAAGACUUGUGUAAGCCAACUUCACUGGUGAUUGAGAUUCCACCAUUCCGCAAUCAGAGAAUUACAAGUCCUGUCCAAGUUAAUUUCUAUGUCUGCAAUGGAAAGAGAAAGAGAAGCCAGUACCAACUUUUCACCUAUCUUCCUGCUAAUGUUCCAAUUAUAAAAACAGAACCCACUGACGACUAUGAACCUGCUCAAACCUGUGGACCAAGGAACCAAGGAUUAAGCCCUCUCUCCAAAGCAUAUUACAGCCAGCAGAUCAUGAUGCCUCCUGAUCCUGGCUCGUGCCUUGUGGCUGGCUUCACUUCCUGUCAGCAAAGAAACACUGUGAUGUCAUCGUCUCCCAGCUCAAGCCCUAAGCUGCAUGAUCUUUCCUCUCCUGCUUACAAGUGCAUCAGCAACCCAGGCCACAACCACCUAGGACUUCAGCAGACCGUUGGAGGUGUCCCCACCAUACAGGAAGUGCCAAGAUCUAUAGUUGUGCACCCAAGUUCUCCAGAUCAGUCAUCUCACAUCAUGCUGCAGCCGCAGGUGAGUCAACAACUGAGCAGUAGCUGUUCCCUUGGUUACCAACAAACACUCUAUCCCAACAGUCCCUCCUCUCCAGUUCCAUCUGUAACCCAAGAGUCAACCUAUUUGCAGUCCUGCAGUCCAACUCACUCAUCCAUAAUGGGUCAGCAGCAACUGCCGAAUGUUCAAAGAAUUGAAUCUCCAGCAGAUCAGCCACUGUCGUUGCCUGAGUUGCAUGAGGACAAUAAUCAUAAUUUGGCCCCUAUUCCUGUAACGAUCAAGCGAGAACCUGAGGAAUUGGACCAGUUAUACCUGGAUGAUGAAAUGAUGGAUAACAUUGUAAAGUCAUAGCAACUUGAAUUAUUCUGUGCACCAAGAGCUUCACCACUGGAGUCCAUAGCCUUCUAUGAUCAAGUAAAUGAAAUAAUCAGGAAUGACCUCUCCACCACCAACGUCCAUUCAUAGCUGGGCCAGCUACAAAUUCAGUUUUAAGCUCAGCAGAAGAUCAUUCUUGGUACUGCUCUGCUCUUCCACUUCCUUGAAUGUUUGGAACAGAUAAUUACCUCUUUUCUCUCUUUCUUUUUUUCUUUCUCUCUUUCUUUCCCCCCCCCUCUCUCCCUCUCUCUACGAAGAAACUGAUUGGCUGGCUUCAGCUUAAAAAGUCAUCUCAAGAAUAAAUGGUGGAAAUGAACUAUGAAAUGGUGUGUUUGUGGUUGGAAGCAGGAAUGUGACACACCAGGUGACUAAAUAGCUCCAACCCUUCCCUCACACCCCGCCCCCUUUGGGUUCUGCUGGACUAUAAUCCUGAAAGUGCCUUAAUUUGUUAGAUUGUGGCAUCAGGACAUUUUAUUGGCAGCUUUAAAUUCGCUGCCAUCCAGAGUAUUUCUAGGCACAGAAGCUGUCCAGCUUUUAUUGGAACAAUGUGUUAAAAACUGAAAUAUCUGAAUUCCAUUAUUUCUUCUGCUUUCUUCCUUGAAUUGUAUCUGACAUGCUGUUGCCUUAUUCCUGAUGCCUUUUUCAGAAACCAAAUUAUCAUCUCAGUGGUAUAUUUUGUUUUCAACCCAUCACAUGACAUUGGCAUGAAACAUAGGAUUGUUGAUCAUAUUCGCAUGUUAAUAUUUUGAUUUAAAUUUGGCUUCAGACAAAGCACAAGAAAA